GAGUCAGCUUAGCCUAGUGGUUACUUCACUUGAAACAAUUCAUCAAUUGUUGUGGGUUCGAAUCCGUCCCCACCCCUUCCACCACGGGCGCCGUCUGACCAUUU
rnacentral:vault_RNA from 10 species